UACGAGGGGUCCUAGCGUUGUUCGGAAUCAUUGGGCGUAAAGGGUGUGUAGGUGGCUAUGUAAGUCAGGUGUGAAAGCCCCGGGCUCAACCCGGGAAGUGCAUCUGAUACUGCGUAGCUUGAGUACCGAAGAGGAUAGUGGAAUUCCAGGUGUAGUGGUGAAAUACGUAGAUAUCUGGAGGAACACCGGUGGCGAAGGCGGCUAUCUGGUCGAGUACUGACACUGAGACACGAAAGCGUGGGGAGCAAACAGGG
rnacentral:rRNA from 1 species